rnacentral:rRNA from 1 species
AUUGAACGCUGGCGGCAUGCCUUACACAUGCAAGUCGAACGGCAGCACGGGAGCAAUCCUGGUGGCGAGUGGCGAACGGGUGAGUAAUAUAUCGGAACGUGCCCAGUAAUGGGGGAUAGCCCGGCGAAAGCCGGAUUAAUACCGCAUACGACCUACGGGUGAAAGCAGGGGAUCGCAAGACCUUGCGUUACUGGAGCGGCCGAUAUCAUAUUAGCUAGUUGGUGGGGUAAAAGCCUACCAAGGCGACGAUCUGUAGCUGGUCUGAGAGGACGACCAGCCACACGUGGACUGAGACACGGCCCAGACGCCUACGGGAGGCAGCAGUGGGGAAUUUUGGACAAGGGGCGCAAGCCUGAUCCAGCCAUGCCGCGUGUGGGAAGAAGGCCUUCGGGUUGUAAACCACUUUUGUCAGGGAAGAAACGCUCUGGGCUAAUACCCUGGGGUAAUGACGGUACCUGAAGAACAAGCACCGGCUAACUACGUGCCAGCCGCCGCCGUAAGAC